rnacentral:rRNA from 1 species
UACGUAGGGUGCAGGCGUUAAUCGGAAUUACUGGGCGUAAAGCGUGCGCAGGCGGUUUGCUAAGACAGGUGUGAAAUCCCCGGGCUUAACCUGGGAACUGCGCUUGUUACUGGCAAGCUGGAGUGUGGCAGAGGGGGGUGGAAUUCCGGCGUGUAGCAGUGAAAUGCGUAGAUAUGCGGAGGAACACCGGUGGCGGAGGCGGCGUCUCUGGGCCUUACCUGACGCUGAGGAGCGAAAGCGUGGGUAGCGAACAGG